ACCCGAGCCAUCCCCCGCAUCCCUUCCCUAUUUCCCCGACGCCGCCGCACCCUCUCGAGCCCUAACCGACGCCGCACGGUUUAGCCGCCGCACACGAUCCGCCGGCCGCCGUUGAGCCCUGCCGAAGCUGCUGUGCCCUCUUGCGCCGCUGCCCUCUCUGGAUCGAAGCAGCGCCGGCCACCGCGACUCCCUCUUUUCUUCUUCCCGAGACCUCGCCGGCCACUAGGUUUAACCUAGCGCCAUCGCCCCUCUCCGAUUCUCUGUGCCGGCGACCGAGCCUCCCUUUCUCCCCACGGCAGAGCACCAUUUCUUCCUUUAUUGUGCCGUGUCUGGUUUAAAUUUGGCCGAGCCUUCUUCGGUGUCCUAGGUUUCGGUUGAGAAUCUGUGAAGUGGAUUUUAGCAGCAAAACUUUUAAAGCUUCAGCAGCAACGAUCCUUGUUAUUGAGCCAUAGCGACUGUGGUUAAGCAACCCUUUCAUUUACCGCAGCAAUUUAUCUUUGUUAGCAAUAAGUUUUGUUUUCCAGCAGCAUCUUGGUCCAGCGGCAGUAAGGACUUUGAUUCGGGACGGUAUCUCGACG